rnacentral:ncRNA from 1 species
CAAAGCCUUGGUCCUGGCCUUUAUAUUGAUUACUAGUAAAUUUACACAUGCAAGCAUCCCCUCCCCAGUGAGAAUGCCCUCUAGUCCAAAAUAGGUCAAAAGGAGCAGAUAUCAAGCACGCUACCAAUAUGCAGCUCACAACAUCUUGCUAAACCACACCCCCACGGGAUACAGCAGUGAUAAAAAUUUAGCAAUAAACGAAAGUUUGACUAAGUUAUACUAAAUUAGGGUUGGUAAAUUUCGUGCCAGCCACCGCGGUCAUACGAUUAACCCAAAUCAAUAAUAUCCGGCGUAAAGCGUGUUUAGGUACAAAGCCAAAAUAAAGUUAAACCAAAGCUAAGCUGUAAAAAGCCCUAGCACAGGUAAAAGACGCAACGAAAGUGACUUUAAAAUAUCCGACUACACGAUAGCUAAGACCCAAACUGGGAUUAGAUACCCCACUAUGCUUAGCCAUAAACCAAAACAUUUAAUUAACAAAAUUGUUCGCCAGAGUACUACUAGCAACAGCCUGAAACUCAAAGGACUUGGCGGUGCUUCAUAUCCACCUAGAGGAGCCUGUUCUGUAAUCGAUACACCCCGAUAAACCUCACCACCCCUUGCCAACACAGCCUAUAUACCGCCAUCUCCAGCAAACCCUAAAAAGGUAAUAUAGUAAGCACAACUAUUAUCACAAAUACGUUAGGUCAAGGUGUAGCCUAUGGGAUGGGAAGAAAUGGGCUACAUUUUCUAACUUAAGAAUACACUUUAUACGAAAGGCUUUAUGAAACUUAAAGCCAGAAGGAGGAUUUAGCAGUAAAUUUAAGAAUAGAGAGCUUAAUUGAACCCGGCCAUGAAACACGCACACACCGCCCGUCACCCUCCUCAACCAAUCAUAUUUACCAACUACAUUAAACCACAAGAGUAUAUUCUUUCUAGAGGAGAUAAGUCGUAACAAGGUAAGCAUACUGGAAAGUGUGCUUGGUAUAA